rnacentral:rRNA from 1 species
AGUGAACGCUGGCGGUAGGCCUAACACAUGCAAGUCGAACGGCAGCACAGUAAGAGCUUGCUCUUACGGGUGGCGAGUGGCGGACGGGUGAGGAAUACAUCGGAAUCUACUUUUUCGUGGGGGAUAACGUAGGGAAACUUACGCUAAUACCGCAUACGACCUACGGGUGAAAGCAGGGGAUCUUCGGACCUUGCGCGAUUGAAUGAGACGAUGUCGGAGUAGCUAGUUGGCGGGGUAAAGGCCCACCAAGGCGACGAUCCGUAGCUGGUCUGAGAGGAUGAUCAGCCACACUGGAACUGAGACACGGUCCAGACUCCUACGGGAGGCAGCAGUGGGGAAUAUUGGACAAUGGGCGCAAGCCUGAUCCAGCCAUACCGCGUGGGUGAAGAAGGCCUUCGGGUUGUAAAGCCCUUUUGUUGGGAAAGAAAAGCAGCAGGUUAAUACCCCGCUGUUCUGACGGUACCCAAAGAAUAAGCACCGGCUAACUUCGUG